AGCAUUGUGGCUUCAUCCUUUCUGUUUCUCUUGGCUCAUUUGUAUUACUCCCUUGAGUAUCACAUAUUAAGAGGCUCUUUUGAGAUGUCUUUAUGGCCUUUAGCCAAAAACUAUGUGCCUGAACCAAUUUAGAAGCAGAUCCUCCAGCCAUAGUCAAGCCCUCAGAUGAUUGCAGCCCCAACCAAACUCUUGACUACAACCUCAUGAGAGACCUUAAGCCAGAACCAGCCAUUCAAGCCAGUACUGAACUCCUGACCCAUAGAAAUUGUGAGAUUAUAUAUGUGUGUUGUUUUAAGCCACCAGAUUUUGGAGGCUCUCCUAUAUACAGUCCAGAGUUGGAUUUCAUUUUGUUGCAUUCUCUGUGACACAGACUCUGAGACAGAGAAUUGUGUGCAUGAGGUUUAUUAGCAAUUACCCUUGGGAUCAACACUUAUGAUGAUGUGAAGGAAGGAGGAUUGGAUAGAAGGAGAUGCUGAGCUGUAAUUAGUGUGUGCUGCUAAAUUUUUAAUAACCAAUUCUCAGAGGAAUAAAAAGCUCUGAUUUGUAACAUUUUCCAGCAUAUAAGUACUUCCAUCAUGGCCAAUUUUAAGCUAUAAAUAUGACAUCCACUGAACAUGGAUCUGGAAAGAAA